AAUGAACGCUGGCGGCAGGCUUAACACAUGCAAGUCGAGCGCCCCGCAAGGGGAGCGGCAGACGGGUGAGUAACGCGUGGGAACGUACCCUUUGCUACGGAAUAGCUCCGGGAAACUGGAAUUAAUACCGUAUACGCCCUACGGGGGAAAGAUUUAUCGGGGUAUGAUGAGCCCGCGUUGGAUUAGCUAGUUGGUGGGGUAAAGGCCUACCAAGGCGACGAUCCAUAGCUGGUCUGAGAGGAUGAUCAGCCACAUUGGGACUGAGACACGGCCCAAACUCCUACGGGAGGCAGCAGUGGGGAAUAUUGGACAAUGGGCGCAAGCCUGAUCCAGCCAUGCCGCGUGAGUGAUGAAGGUCUUAGGAUUGUAAAGCUCUUUCACCGGUGAAGAUAAUGACGGUAACCGGAGAAGAAGCCCCGGCUAACUUCAUGCCAGCAGCCGCCGUAACAC
rnacentral:rRNA from 1 species